CCCUUAGAUGUUCUGGGCUGCACGCGCGCUACACUGACACACGCAACGAGUCUCCUGCCCCGACAGGGUCGGGUAAUCAUUUGAGUGUGUGUCGUGAUGGGGAUAGAGUAUUGCAAUUAUUGCUCUUGAACGAGGAAUUCCUAGUAAGCACAAGUCAGCAGCUUGUGCUGAUUACGUCCCUGCCCUUUGUACACACCGCCCGUCGCUCCUACCGAGGGGGUGAUCCGGUGAAUGAUUCGGACUCUGGUGCUUCUAGCUGCUAGAUGCGCCGGAGGAAGUUUUGUGAACCUUAUCACUUGGAGGAAGGAGAAGUCGUAACA
rnacentral:rRNA from 1 species